UAAAUUGUUCAUUAAUUGUGAACUAGAAUGAAGGAAAAAAUGGUUUAAUUCUGUCUUAAUGUUUAUAUAUUGAAAUUGAAUUCUUUGUAAAAAUGCAAAAAUUUAUUUUAGGGACAAGAAGACCCUAUAAAGCUUAUUUGAUAUUAUUAGUAUCUAUCUAAUAAAUAUCAAUUUGAUUGGGGCAAUUAUUUAUAUAUAUUAAAUAUAAAUUAAAUUUAGUUACUUAUUUAUUAUCAGAAUGAUCCAUCAUUGAUGAAAAAUGAUUAAGUUACUUUAGGGAUAACAGGAUAAUUUUUAUUAGAAAGUUCUUAUUAGUAAUAAAGUUUAUUACCUCGAUGUUGAAUUAAUUUAAUUAAAUGGUGAAGUAACUUUUUGAGUUUGACUGUUCGUCAAUUAAAUAAUUACAUGAUCUGAGUUC
rnacentral:rRNA from 1 species